rnacentral:rRNA from 1 species
UACAGAGGUCUCAACCGUUGUUCGGAUUCAUUGGGCGUAAAGGGUGCGUAGGCGGUCGCGCAAGUCGGAUGUGAAAUCUCAGGGCUCAACCCUGAAACUGCAUUCGAUACUGCGUGGCUCGAGUGCUGGAGAGGAGACUGGAAUUUACGGUGUAGCAGUGAAAUGCGUAGAUAUCGUAAGGAAGACCAGUGGCGAAGGCGAGUCUCUGGGCAACAACUGACGCUGAGGAGCGAAAGCGUGGGGAGCGAACAGG